UCUGGCUGUGGUGUAGGUCGGCAGCUACAGCUCCAAUUCCACCCCUAGCCUGGGAACCUCCUGUGGGUGUGGCCCUAAAAAGACCCCCAAAAAAGGAAUGGCUAAAGCAAGAAGAGAUCAGAUCUCUGCUGAGAGUUCACAAGGGAGACUGCUGGAAGAGUAGAAUCAGAAAGCGGCAUUUUUUCUUGGCCUGUGGAAGAAGGAACAGACUAGAAGUGGUGGUGGUGGUGGUGGUUUUUUGUCAUUUAAAGACAAAAUAAAGCAAGUGAUGAGAAUUCAGCCUUUGCUUCGCUCGUGGUGGGAGGUGAGCAAAUGUCCAUCGCUGGGUGCUGACAGAGACCCGCCAACUAAAGUGUCCCUGUCUUCAUGACGUGUUGAGGAUUCACGUCUAAGCAGAAGGUUGGAUGAUGAAUUCUAGGUCCCCAUCCAACUCCCAAAAUUCAUCUUGACCCUGAGUUAAGCAACACUGUUGACGGGGGUGCCCACUUGGGCAGCAGGGCACUGCCCUUCUUCCCUGGGUUGUGGGAGGUCUUUUGCUCCAAUUGGAACUGAAGACACAGACCAGAACAUGAGAGUGAUGUGGUAAGAGUGUUGAGUGGUGGGGUCAAAGCCAUUUCUAGUACCUUCUGGUCAGUGAUUAAUUGAACAACUGUGUGUUAUAGGCCUGGCCCAGUGCCAGCGUGGGGACACAGGGGUGAGGCAAGAGAGGCCGUCUGUGAUGAGGCUGGGCCAAGCUGGGACGAGGCCCCUGCCCCAGAGUCCCCACAGUGUGCCGCCACCCUGCUCACGUCUGGAGGCUGGGAGGCCCGGACAGGCAGGGCGAGGGUCAGGGCGAGGGAGCUGGUGGUGUUGCUGUUAUGACCUGGAAGGAGGCCAUGCCGUUUGUAUAAAACCGAGGGGAAAAGGCUGUGGUCCUUUUGUGUGGCAGGGCCUGCGUCACCCUGCAAUUCUCUGCAGACUCCUGAGGAACCUGCGCCGACAGAUGACCUCCUGGCCCGUCCCCGGCCUCCUCCCUAGCUGCCCGCCCAGGUCGCCUUUGUUUUGACAUCUUUUUACUCUCCUCUCCAUGUUUCCUGUUUUCGUGGAUCUUCCCCCCCUGCUGUAUUUUUCCUGUGGCUGUUUGGUCUCCCAGAUGUUGCAGCCACUGGUUAUUUUGGUAGCUAUCAGGGCAUCACAAGAUCUUAAAAAAAAAAAAAAAAGAAAAGAAAAGAAAAGAAAAAAGACAAUGGAAAAAUCCUAUAUUGGAAAAAAAAAAAAUUUCCAUACAUGUGUCCCUGGUUGCAUGGUGGACCCUCCCAGUGUUUCAAAUGCGUAGCCUGGGUGUUGUCACAACGACGGAGACAACAAACUGAAACGGAAUAAAUUCAGUGAAAACACCCACACUUCUUUCAUAAUAGGCCACUUCCUUGGGGCACAGCACUGCACCCUGCACAUGACUGGCUCUCACUAAACAUUGGUCGAAUGACAUUUAUUAAGCACUGGGCCCUUCCUGGAGAUAUGUUUUGAGGUGUGAUACUUUAUGUUCCUGUUUAAACCCCUUUUCUCCACUCGCUGUCAUAUAGGAAAAGCAAAAUCCAUCGAUACAGCCACGUAGUUACAUGGCCGUGGAGGCCGUGCUGGUCUGUACAGGCAAAAUGAGAGAAAUGCCACAGAUGCCACGUGCUGCUCCGAUGGGGACUCCAGUAGAUCUCUGGCACCGGGAUGGCCAGCAGUGCCUGGGAAUUUGGCCUGAGCAAGGCCCAUAGGAAGAGUCUCAUUAGUGGAUUCUGUGUGGGCCAGAUCCUGGAGGCAGUUUCAGGGCCCCAGAAUGACUGCACUGGGGGAAACAUGAGCAGCGUGAAGGCAGAAAUGGAUGCAGGGAGAUCGAAAGAAGCUGCUGCCCAGGUGAGAAAUGAAGAUAGAUUCGGGAAGAAGGGAGGUGGAAGAGAAAUUGCUUUGAGGCUGAAGAACCACCAAAGGAGCUGUGAACCCAUGGACCACAAUUCUCAGGUUGAACCAUAAGAACACAGGUUUAGUGAGCUCUUGCUGUACAAGGACCAGUGGGGUAGUUGAGAGAAAUACGAGACCUGGAUCCCCCUUGGCAGUUCAUACUGUCUCAUUGAGACGACGUGGCUCGCCGUCUGUCUUCAGCAACGCGUGACGUGACAUUGGAGUGACCAUGAACUCAAUGACCGUGAACUCAACUGACCAUGAACUCGUGUGGCUGGGAGAAGCCUGCGCUUGGAGUUUAGAGAGAGCAGAGACCUCAGGCCAGGUGGAUCAGAGUCGAAAUACAGAGACGAAAUCCUUCUGCAGAGCAACAGGAUCUUUCUCCGGAUUCUCUGGCUCAAUGCGGCCGAAUCUGUAAUCUGCGUCUCCAAGUCCCAAAAUGUCUGAUUGGAGCUGCUGUCAUUGGAAAGAAGCGGCACUGGCACGUGGUUCUCUCAUCCAUGGCAGGGAUCCUGAAAGAGAGGUGGAAAGAAGUGCUAAGCGGAGAAAAUGGAGAGGAGCACAUUUGAGGCACUUGAAUUCCACGGCCUUUGUCCAGCACUGCUCUCACCCCCUUCAGCGACUUGUUAUGCUUCUUGUCACCAGGAAAAGUGUGGCUUUUAUGCUUCUCUGCAUUCUCCAAAGGCAUGGUGGGUGCUCAAUAGAUGGUGGUUGAAUUGAGAUGAGUGAAACUUGGCCCACUAGAAUGAACCCAGUCUACAAGCCAUGGCCAUCUGCUACUGAGAUUGGAGUUCAACAGAAACUAGACUAUUGAAACUUUCAGAAUGAAAAUAGUGGUUUUGAGAAAGAUAGAAGUCUUAGUGGAGAGAGCUCUGCUUAAACGGACCACAGGAUACUUCAAGAGUCGGGUUGGCCUUGGCAAUCAUCUGAUCAUCUUCCACUAGGUUUUUUUGAUGAGAAAAUCAAGACCUGGAUCAGGUAAGAGUCUUGUCAAAUGUCACACAGCUACCUGGUGGAAGCUCUGAUUCAAGGAUCCAGGUCUGGGUAUCUUUGGAGUCUAUCACGAGUUUUACUCAUCAGCCUGAGAGGUGAAAGUGCCCAUUUCCAGCAUGGCAUGUGUGGCUGCCUAGCCGUGCGUAUUGGGACAGAAUUGAAAAGCGGGAUGGUUCUGAGCUUCUCAGCUCCUCUGGAAUUUUGUCUUCAUGAUGCGAUUUCAUGAUUUUGUGUGUGAUAUUGUGAAUAACUAGAAUACCAGCUAUUGCCGUUGGAAAAAGCGAGCAGAACCACAGACUGUAACACAUAUACUCCAGAAUAAUUUGCAAACAGAAAUUAUUUCCUACCUGUUCAGAUUCCCUUUGUGAGGAUCCCUUGCAUGUCUAAGGACGAUGAGGAACUGGUGUUAUUUAUGCCUCCACGUAGGAGUCAGAAUAUGUGUAACACCCUCAGCAUCUGGACCAGGUCCAGUCUGUAUUUUUUCUCCCCAUCUGCUCCUGGUAUUUUAAGUAAAAAGGUUUGUAUCUGCAUCCCCCAAGCCCUGUUGUAAAUUGUAAAUCAUGCCAUUAUAUCUGGUAAAACCACAAUGUCAAGCAACAAUUCACAAAGCCACAAAGAUUCUCUGGAGUAAUUUUCCUGUUCUCGUUGAUCAAUUUUAUAUUUUCCCCUUGGCCAUAUGCACACAUUAAAUGGCACUAAUUCAGUGGGAAAACUCAUAAGGGAUGAUAUUUCAAGUGGCACAAAUGGCAGUGAUGCCUUUACAAGUGUCUCUUUUAUAAUUGCCUCUACACUCUACCUGAAUCUGCUCUUCUCCGUUGUAUCAGCUGAGGGAGAUGGACGCAGGAAUGGGGUGGGGGUGGGGGGAGCCGGGAAGCGGGAGGAGAAUGGUUCAGUUAAAUUAGGGGUGACACCAGGAGAAUCGCAAGUCAAAAAUGGUGCGGUUGUAAUUAUUUCUUUCUCCUGGUGAGGCUACUUAUUGUCUGGUCUGGAGAAGUGACAGGUAGGGGAGAGCAGGCUGGUGCUGGCGAGUCAGGAAGGAUGCUCUCCAUUGACUACUUGCCACCUCUAACUUGAAGGCAGGACUUUAUCUAGGUCACCGAUUUCUUCUUUUAGCUUUUUUGAUUUUUUUAUAUGAGAAUUUUUUAGUCAACUUUUUUAUUCAGGAAGCGUAUAUACACAGAAAAGUGCAUAAUUCAUAGUUUUACUCGAAGAUAACUUUUUACAAAGUGAACGCCCCUCUGUAACCACCACACACAUCAAGAGGCAGAACCUGGAGUUCCCUUGUGGAGCAGCGGGUUAGGGAUCUGGUAUUGUCAGUGCAGUGGCUUGAGUCGCUGCUGUGGCAUGGGUUCGAUUCCUGGCCCAGGAACCUCUA